GGCCUAUUAGCUCAGUUGGUUAGAGUGUCGUGCUAAUAAGGCGAAGGUCGCAGGUUCGAGACCUGCAAGGGCCA
rfam:Macleaya cordata isolate BLH2017 scaffold8965, whole genome shotgun sequence.